GUGGCAAGUUUCUAAGAGCGAACGGUGGAUGCCUUGGCAUCUGGAGCCGAUGAAGGACGUAGCAAUCUGCGAUAAGCCUCGGGGAGUUGAUAAGCGAACUGUGAUCCGAGGGUGUCCGAAUGGGGAAACCUGGCCAGGCCCUUUGGGUGACCUGGUUACUCCCGCCUGAAUGUAUAGGGCGGGUAGAGGGAACGUGGGGAAGUGAAACAUCUCAGUACCCACAGGAAGAGAAAACAAAAUGUGAUUCCGUUAGUAGUGGCGAGCGAACGCGGAUGUGGCUAAACCUGUCACGUGUGAUACCCGGCAGGGGUUGCGUGGUGGGGGUUGUGGGACCCUUCGAGGAGGACUGCCGUUCUCCUGCGGUGACGUGCGCGUGGUGUAGGCGAACAGCUUGGAAAGGCUGACCGUAGCGGGUGAGAGUCCUGUAGCCGAAAUGCUGCGCCGGCCGGAGGGUGUUCCCGAGUAGCACGGGGCCCGAGAAAUCCCGUGUGAAUCUGCCAGGACCACCUGGUAAGCCUGAAUACUCCCAGAUGACCGAUAGCGGACAAGUACCGUGAGGGAAAGGUGAAAAGUACCCCGGGAGGGGAGUGAAAUAGUUCCUGAAACCGUUCGCUUACAAACCGUCGGAGCCGGCUUGUUCCGGUGACGGCGUGCCUUUUGAAGAAUGAGCCUGCGAGUUAGCGAUACGUGGCGAGGUUAACCCGUGUGGGGAAGCCGUAGCGAAAGCGAGUCCGAAUAGGGCGUUUUUAGUCGCGUGUCCUAGACCCGAAGCGAAGUGAUCUACCCAUGGCCAGGUUGAAGCGACGGUAAGACGUCGUGGAGGACCGAACCCACCAGGGUUGAAAACCUGGGGGAUGAGCUGUGGGUAGGGGUGAAAGGCCAAUCAAACUUCGUGAUAGCUGGUUCUCUCCGAAAUGCAUUUAGGUGCAGCGUUGCGUGUUUCUUGCCGGAGGUAGAGCUACUGGAUAGCCGAUGGGGCCUAAAAGCUUACUGACGUUAGCCAAACUCCGAAUGCCGGUAAGUGAGAGCGCAGCAGUGAGACGGUGGGGGAUAAGCUUCAUCGUCGAGAGGGAAACAACCCAGACCACCGACUAAGGUCCCUAAGCGCGUGCUAAGUGGGAAAGGAUGUGGAGUUGCACAGACAACCAGGAGGUUGGCUUAGAAGCAGCCACCCUUGAAAGAGUGCGUAAUAGCUCACUGGUCAAGUGAUUCCGCGCCGACAAUGUAACGGGGCUCAAGCACGCCACCGAAGUCGUGGCAUUGCCGCAGCAGACAGGCCUUCGUGGUCCAGUCGCGGUGAUGGGUAGGAGAGCGUCGUGUGGGCGGUGAAGCAGCGGGGUGACCCAGCUGUGGAGGCCACACGAGUGAGAAUGCAGGCAUGAGUAGCGAAAGACGGGUGAGAAACCCGUCCUCCGAAAGACCAAGGGUUCCAGGGCCAGGUUAAUCCGCCCUGGGUAAGUCGGGACCUAAGGCGAGGCCGACAGGCGUAGUCGAUGGACAACGGGUUGAUAUUCCCGUACCGGCGAAGAACCGCCCAUGCUGAUCUGGUAAUGCUAAGCAUCCGAUGCCGGCACUGUCUCCUUUCGAGGGGGCGCCGCCGGCGGAGCAUGCGACCCAGUCCGGGGAGGCAAGCGUGUUAACAGGUGUGACGCAGGAAGGUAGCCGUACCGGGCGAUGGUUGUCCCGGGGCAAGGAUGUAGGGCUGGAGAUAGGCAAAUCCGUCUCCUGUGUGCCUGAGAUCUGACGCAUACCCGUCAAGGGGAAUUCGGUGAUCCUAUGCUGCCAAGAAAAGCAUCGACGCGAGGUUCUAGCCGCCCGUACCCCAAACCGACUCAGGUGGUCAGGUAGAGAAUACCAAGGAGAUCGAGAGAAUCGUGGUUAAGGAACUCGGCAAAAUGCCCCCGUAACUUCGGGAGAAGGGGGGCCCGAAGCGUGAACCCACUUGCUGGGGGAGCGUGGAGUGGCCGCAGAGACCAGUGGGAAGCGACUGUUUACUAAAAACACAGGUCCGUGCCAAGUCGCAAGACGAUGUAUACGGACUGACGCCUGCCCGGUGCUGGAAGGUUAAGAGGACCGGUCAGCUCUUUAUUGAGCGAAGCUGAGAAUUUAAGCCCCAGUAAACGGCGGUGGUAACUAUAACCAUCCUAAGGUAGCGAAAUUCCUUGUCGGGUAAGUUCCGACCUGCACGAAUGGCGUAACGACUUCCCAGCUGUCUCAACCGCGAACUCGGCGAAAUUGCACUACGAGUAAAGAUGCUCGUUACGCGCAGCAGGACGGAAAGACCCCGUGACCUUUACUAUAGCUUGGUAUUGGUGUUCGGUGCGGCUUGUGUAGGAUAGGUGGGAGACUGCGAAGCGGGCACGCUAGUGUUCGUGGAGUCAUUGUUGAAAUACCACUCUGGUCGCUCUGGAUAUCUAACUUCUGACCGUGAUCCGGUCAAGGGACAGUGCCUGGUGGGUAGUUUAACUGGGGCGGUUGCCUCCUAAAGAGUAACGGAGGCGCCCAAAGGUUCCCUCAACCUGGUUGGCAAUCAGGUGGCGAGUGUAAGUGCACAAGGGAGCUUGACUGUGAGACUGACAGGUCGAGCAGGGACGAAAGUCGGGACUAGUGAUCCGGCGGUACGUUGUGGAACGGCCGUCGCUCAACGGAUAAAAGGUACCUCGGGGAUAACAGGCUGAUCUUGCCCAAGAGUCCAUAUCGACGGCAUGGUUUGGCACCUCGAUGUCGGCUCGUCGCAUCCUGGGGCUGGAGUAGGUCCCAAGGGUUGGGCUGUUCGCCCAUUAAAGCGGUACGCGAGCUGGGUUUAGAACGUCGUGAGACAGUUCGGUCCCUAUCCGCUGCGCGCGCAGGAGAUUUGAGAGGAUCUGACCCUAGUACGAGAGGACCGGGUUGGACGAACCUCUGGUGUGUCAGUUGUUCCGCCAGGAGCACCGCUGAUUAGCUACGUUCGGGAUGGAUAACCGCUGAAAGCAUCUAAGCGGGAAGCCGGCCUCGAGAUGAGAUCUCCAUCCCCUCGUGGGGAGAGGCUCCCAGCCAGACGACUGGGUUGAUAGGCCGGAUGUGGAAGCAGGGACGAAAGACCUGCGCAGCUGACCGGUACUAAUAAGCCGACAACUUGUUACAC
rnacentral:rRNA from 2 species